GCCAGGUGUGGUGGCGCAUGCCUGUAAUUCCAGUGGCUCAGGAGGCUGAGGCAGGAGGAUCUCAAGUUCAAAGCCUCAACAAUUUAGCAAGGCUUUAAGCAACUUUAGUGAGACCUUGUCUCCA
rnacentral:sRNA from 1 species